AACAAACGCUGGCGGCGUGCCUCAAGCAUGCAAGUCGAGCGGCAAGGGCAGCAAUGCCCCUAGAGCGGCGGACUGGUGAGUAACGCGUGGGUGAUCUACCUUGGGCAUGGGGAUAGCCAUUAGAAAUAGUGGGUAUUACCGAAUACGUUCGUUACCGUGAGGGUAACGAGGAAAGGCGCUACGGCGCCGGCCUGGAGAUGAGCUUGCGUCUGAUUAGCUAGUUGGUGAGGUAAUGGCUCACCAAGGCGAUGAUCGGUAGCCGGCCUGAGAGGGUGUACGGCCACACUGGGACUGAGAUACGGCCCAGACUCCUACGGGAGGCAGCAGCUAAGAAUAUUCCGCAAUGGACGAAAGUCUGACGGAGCGACGCCGCGUGGAUGAUGAAGGCCGAAAGGUUGUAAAGUCCUUUUGCUGGGGAAGAAUAAGCGUGGGAGGGAAUGCCCGCGUGAUGACAUGAACCGGCGAAUAAGCCCCGGCUAACUACGUGCCAGCAGCCGCGGUAACACGUAGGGGGCGAGCGUUGUUCGGAAUUACUGGGCGUAAAGGGCAUGUAGGCGGCUUUGUAAGCUUGGCGUGAAAUUCCACGGCUUAACCGUGGGAAUGCGUUGAGAACUGCGAGGCUUGAGUGACGGAGAGGGAGCUAGAAUUCCUGGUGUAGGGGUGGAAUCUGUAGAGAUCAGGAAGAAUACCAAUGGCGAAAGGCAAGCUCCUGGCCGAUGACUGACGCUGAGGUGCGAAAGUGUGGGGAUCAAAC
rnacentral:rRNA from 1 species